GCUGUUUCUAAUUUCAAAAUUAGUCAAAUUGAUUUCCAGCUGGUGAAUUUUGCUCUUUUGAGAGAUCAAAUGUUCUAUAGGCUAAACAGUGUAUCUUUUAUUGUUUUAGUUAAUUGAGGUAUAGAACAUUGGGUCAUACUUGAAAUUAGUGUCCAGUUCUCACUAUACUACAACUUAAGACUCAAUUAACUUCUAUUUACUGCUUAUUAAUAGUUAGUAAAGUAGUUGUUAAGUUUAGGUAUUAGGUAAGAUUAAGGGAUGUAGAACAUAAUUAUGAAGAAUAAGGCAUUAAUAUGUGCUUUUUAUGUAUUAUAGUAAUAGCCAUAUGCAUGCAAAUAAGCUACUAGUUAAUAGUGAGAAUUGCACCCUAAACUAAAGUGUUACUGAAUAUUAAUUCAUCAAUAACCUUUUGCCAUCUAACUAAACCAAUAUGCCAAUUUCUGUUGGAUCUGAAGAGUUGUUCUGGUGCAACUGCAAGGAAAAAGCAUAGAAAGAACAUAUCAAACACAACUGAAUGGAGAUUUUGUUUAAUUUCUCAUUUGCUUAAGUGGUUUUGUGUUUAAAAAUGUCUGUAAUUUAUUAAAGAAUUAUGUCAAGAGGCGGAGCUUAACACAGGCCUGUCAAACACAAACUAGUUCAGCAUCACAGAUCACUGAGAGAAGCAGGAACCUGUUCAUCAUGUUCACUUGUGCACUUAUAUUGCUGACUUUAACUCAAGGUAUCAGAGCUAAAGAGGUCAUCACUCCAUACAGUGAUGCAGCAUUUGCCACUGAGACCGAGAGUGUGAAACUCUCUUGUAACUACAGCGGUUCUGUUGAUAGUCUUCUCUGGUAUCGACAAUAUGAAGGUUCACCACCACAGUUCCUCAUACUGGAUUAUUCAGGAUACGUUACUCAAGCUACUCCUCCAGUUCCUGGAAUAUCCAUCAGUCAUAGAAAAGAAGACAAAAGUGUGGAUCUGAUCAUCUCCUCUGCUGCAGUAUCAGACUCUGCUCUGUAUUACUGUGCUCUGAAGCCCACAGUCACAGGAAACACAAGAACACUGUACAAAAACCUGAAAAAAAUAUAAAGUCACAAACUUGCAAUGAUGUCUAGCCAUCAAACACAAGGCAUGCAUUUAGAAUAUAUAAUUGUGCUAUCGAAUUACUAUUUGAUUAUUAA